ACAGACACCUCAGCAGUACUCAGAGUUUACAAUACGUGCAGAAGGAGCAGCACAUUCAGAAGGAAGGACAGACACAGCCGGGCCAUGCCAGCUCUGUGCUCAGUCAUGGCAGUGCAUCCCCAUGGUGGAAAGGAGCACGGGACAGGAGGAAGGGCAGGACUUCACCCCCACAGGUUGAUGUGUUGGAGUUAAUGCUCCUCAGAGGCUAACCAUAGUAUCUGAACUGUCAUCACAGCUCUGGCAAGAUAAGCUUUUAUUCGUGGCAGCCU
rnacentral:lncRNA from 1 species